GACAAAAUCAAGCUCUUUUCAGGUACAGGAGCUGGGUAAAACCCUUUCCAAAAAACAGGCUGUGCAGCCUGGAGAAACAUACUCACCAAACCAGGUUUGCUGUGGUCUGGAGGAUGUUUGUUUUAUUGAAGAGGGAGAUGUGGGGAGAGAAGUUAGGCAAUUCAGAGCUUAUUUGAGUAGCGGGAAUCCAGGCCAUCAUGCAACCCUUUCAAUAACCAAAGGUAAGUGCUCCAUUUAAGAGCCAAGACCAACACGUGAAAUGAGAAGGACCCGUGCUCAAAACAAGGAAACAGAAAAUGUAUUUCAAGCAGCAGACUACCUACAAAAUUAUAUGCACAGCAUAACGUUUGUAUGGCUUACCAUCGUAAAAACGACUAAACAAGUAAAUGAAUGAAGAGUAAGAGCUGCAAUAGUUUUGCAUAGUGAUUUAGAAAGCAUUUAUUUAACAAUUCACAGAACUAUAAUAAUUAAGGUCAUAAUUAGGUACUGGUGCUUAUAAAGCACAUGGUUUUACAAUAACCAAAGUAUUAGCUCCCUUAUAUCUUGCAUUUGCUCUUCACACAAAACAAAAGAGGCUUACAAACAAGAUGUCCUUGCUAACAAUGUUAUUUACCCAGAGGUUUGCAAACAAGAUGCCCUUGCUCACAAACUUGUGCAGAGGCUUGCAGAUUCCUCUCCUGUUGGUGUCUGUACAUUCUUACCAAACAAGAUUUUAGUUAUGAAGGUCUGUCAACAACUGAACUUACAAACUUUGGACGUGCUGAGCAGAUUUAGUAGCAUAAUUAACUUCUCCUCCCUGAACUGCAUGAAGUUGGAGUUAAUUACACACACAAUACAUGAUACAAAAGGGGAUGACAUACAAGGGGGAACAUGUAUUGGGUGGACCAGGAAGUCUGUAACCUCAGUACUUCAGCCAGUGAGGAAACGAGGAGAAACAAUACAGUUGAAGGAUAGGGAUAAAAGGGGGGUUUCAAUCCCAGAUACUGUGAGAAAUCCUGGGGGGAGAGAAAGCUGGAGACUCCCCUCUGUCUCAUUUUUGGGGUAAAGAUGAGUGAGCAAGCUGUUAGAGAAAAAUUUUCCCAACUUUGUGCAAUUAUGAACUGCCGUUGACUGUAGGCCUCACCUAUUCUGUGUACAGAUGUUUAUUAGUACUCUUCGGCAACAUAUUCUUUCCACCUUAUUCUAUUCCAACAUGGAGAGCCAGCAGUAUUUGAAGGCUGUAUGAUUUCAUCGCAUGAAUGAAUUUGCCUGGGCCUGUAUUCUUAUGUAAGCCAUGUUGCAAUAUUAUUUUCCUUCCAUAGACCAAGGCCAAAUUAAAAAAAUAGAUUUUCUGCUGAUGACCUUUCAUCUUCCUCUGCUGGGACAGCAUCAACAGAUUCAAGGAGAUAGACAGGGACAGGCGUUUGCACAACCUCAAAGCAAAUGUUUGCUCUUAUUUUUUUUUUUUUUUCAAUAAGACUUCAAGGUAGAGGACCAUCGGUCUGCAACAAAAGGUGCAAAGCAGUUAAGAACUGCAGAGGAUGUAGCGUGGUCUUCAUGAAAUAGCAGCAUCCAGAUGCUAAGUCGUCAGCUUUGCUCAUGGGUGAUUGCUCAUUCAUUCGCGUACUUAAACAAUUCCUGUCGCUGGGCCAUUUAUCUCAACUCUUGAUGGGGUGUCUGAUUCAACAAGUGAGAGGUGUUAGCAUGAUAUUUGAUCUAUGUCUGCAAUGUACAAAGUCGUUAACUGUACACAAAAGGAAAGAAAAUCGUAACUUCUGUAGGGCUUAACAUUUACUGAGCACCACCAAUAGUGUACCCAAGAAAUGCACGGAGGACACCAAACAAACCUUUGUUACAGUAGUGUAUGUGUAGGUCGUGCAAUUCUGCGCUCUUUUUUGUGUUAUUUGCUCAACAAGUUGAGUUUCAUAUUUUUUUUUAACAGAAGAAUAGCAAAACAAAUGCAGAAUUUCUGCAUAACUUAAGUCAUCACCCCAGGGGAUGGGGGCAGGGUGAAGGACCAGGUACCCAAGCCUUCAGCAAACCAGAGAUCGCUGUGAAGAAGGUUAACUACUGAUAUCAGACAGAGGAAGCAGGAUGCUCUUUUGCAAGGACUCCAUGUCUGAAGCGGAUACUAUAACCUGUCUUAAUCCUUAAAGAGCAGACGAUCUGCUUUGGGAUCCAAAGUUUGAAGUAUAGACGAGAUUUGCUCAUGCUGAUUGUGGACCACGUUCCUUGAAAACCCACGUGUAUUGUAGACAUCUGGGCUGCAGGCCUUCCCGGGUACUGCUCCAGAAGUGAGAUCCUGCAGGUGACCUCUCCAAAAUGAGCCCGUAGCUUUGCAUUCGAUAGAUUUUGCAGUAACUGAUGCCACGGGGAAUCUUAGCAUCUAGUGCCUUAUUACAUUACAGUCCCUGAGCUCCAGAAGCACACUGUCUGUAAUGGUCUGUGUUUGAAUAAAUUCAAGAGGAUCUAUAUGAAGACCUGACUUGGGCAGGGGGGAACCAUAUGGCUGACCUAAGUAUAAGCAGCUGUGAUGAAAGGUGUGGGAAAUAGUGGUGGUAGGUGGACAGCUGGACUGGGUGAUCUUAGAGAUCUCUUCCAACUUUGUUGAUUCUAUGAUUCUAAUUAAGCUACAAAAGAACUCUUACUUUAACUUGCUUCCUUAAUGAAUAGGUUAAAACACAAAGAGCAUUCAGCGCCAGUGAAAACGAGAACUUCCAAUUUUGAUGGCCAUUUCAGGAAAAUGAAACUUGAGCAUGAAAAUGUAACUGCUGAAGCAAUUUUAGGACACUUCCAAAUCUGCUGUAAAAUCAGGUUGCUUAAAAUGGACAGAUGUGUGAAAAAGAUGUCAGACAGCUCACCUGACCUGGAAUGAAACAAGGGUGAUUAAGACUUUGUGCUUCCCCCAUCUCCCACAUGGUUAACCCUGAGGAAGAAGAAAACAAAAGACAUUCUGAUUCUGCAAGAAGAAUAGUUUCUCUUCUCACACCAGGGGAAGGGCAGCUUUUACUGAGCGCACACUGGUUUGACACAGGAUUCUAUCCUUUGCCUUGUUGAACACGAACACCCACUCUGUGCGGCAGGGACUCACCGCUGCUUGAUGCCUACAGAUGUUGCCUAUCUGCCUCUUCAAACUGCAGUCCUCAAUGCCUCUGCCAAAGCAGUGUUUUGGUUCUUUUGCAUAUAGCUGCAAAAAGAAUCAUAGGAUCAUUGAGGUUAGAAGGACCUCUAGGAUCACCAAGUCCAACCACCAGCCGCAUUCCUCAGUGCCACAUCCACAUGGCUCUCAAACACCUCCAGGGACAGUGACCCCACCACCUCCCAGGGCAGCCCAUUCCAGUGCAUCACCACUCAUUCUGAGAAGUUUUUCCCAAACCUCUCCUGACACAACUUAAGGCCAUUACCUGUCAUUCUAUCACUGGUUACCUGGGAUCUUCACUAGCACCUGUGAAUGGCGCACAACAACAGGCUUCACUGCGCCCCUGAACCCACACAUCCAAGAAUGAAAACACAGCACUGCAUGAGGAAUUUUCUGCACAAAGACAUGGGGAACACAAUGGCUAUACCAAAGCCAGGCUUCUGUGUGUUGCAGUUGCCAGCUUCACACACAAGCUUUGCAGAUAUGCACCCAGCAGGAUUGUUGCUUGGCAUGGGAAAUGUAAGGCAGCAUCCAGGUUCAGCUUUCUCCUCAUCAGGCACCAUGGGUUAUGCUCACUCCAAGCUCACUCCGAAGUCAGAAUGAAGAGGGGAAGACUGAGCCCUGCUCUGCCCACCACCCUUCUCCCCAAUUCUUCUCCCCCAUUCGGCUGUUAGCAUGAGGUGUCUUUAGAGCGUGACUUCCCGCCCUUUGUCUCCUUGGUUUAACUCUAACACUCUCCUGCCAUGGUGGAGGAGAAUUCCUGCUGGCCACAAGCGGCCCCAUGCCCUGUCUGAAGCACAUGAGCCCUGUUUCAAGCACUUAACAAGGCCCCUCCAUGCAAAGGAACAAACUGGGAUCUGCACACAAGGUGCUCCUGCUCCUGCUCCUGCAGACCCUCACAGCCAUAGCACAGCGAUCUCUGCCCAUGGUGUUCAGCAGCAAAGCACUAGGGUGAAAGUACACCUGAUGUGAGCAUGUGGUGUCAGCGCCUGGCCAACCUCUGCUGUUUCUGCAAAAAUGUCAGUUUUGUUGUAGCUUUCUCCUCAAAAACAAUCAAUGAAAGCCAUCAAAAAGCUGAGAGACCCUAACUCAAAAGGUUCUUUUGUGAAAGUGAUAUGUGAAACAGAAAUAGUGCUGCAGAUAGUCCUCACCUGCAAGCUGAAAUGCUGGUGGGCACCCUCUUGAGUCACAUCCUCAGCCAAAGUGAGGACAGGCAAAGCAGAGGUUGGAAUGUUGGGCACUAAGCACCGCCAUCAGGUGUGCAAAGUCCAGGCAGCAGCUGGGUGCCAGCACCCUUCCUCAGGGGUCAGUGCUGUGCCAAUGCUGUUUGACGUCCUUAUCAGCAGCUAGGGCAAUAGGACAGAAUAUGCUCUCCAC
ensembl:lncRNA